GACGAACGCUGGCGGCGUGCUUAACACAUGCAAGUCGAACGGAAAGGCCCUGCUUGCAGGGUGCUCGAGUGGCGAACGGGUGAGUAACACGUGGGUGAUCUGCCCCUUAUUUUGGGAUAAGCCUGGGAAACUGGGUCUAAUACUGGAUAGGACCAUGCUGUAGGUGGUGUGGUGGAAAGAUUAGUUUCGGUAAGGGAUGAGCUCGCGGCCUAUCAGCUUGUUGGUGGGGUAAUGGCCUACCAAGGCGUCGACGGGUAGCCGGCCUGAGAGGGUGGACGGCCACAUUGGGACUGAGAUACGGCCCAGACUCCUACGGGAGGCAGCAGUGGGGAAUAUUGCACAAUGGGCGCAAGCCGGGUGCAGCGACGCCGCGUGGGGGAUGACGGCCUUCGGGUUGUAAACUCCUUUCAGCCAUGACGAAGCCCUUGUGGUGACGGUAGUGGUAGAAGAAGCACCGGCUAACUACGUG
rnacentral:rRNA from 1 species